rnacentral:pre_miRNA from 1 species
AGAGGCCAUCUCAUGCCAUUAAUUUCUAAGCAGUCAAUGAGGAAUUCUGCUGUAGAAUUAAUGGCAAAAUAUGGCCCAC